GACCGAGGAUGUAACUUGUACGCGAGUCAAAGGGUUGUAAACCCCACGGCGCAAUGAAAGUAAAGGCCGGUUAACCGGUUGACAUAGGAUCCGUUCUUUGAGCGGCGCACUAUGGCCCUGUCUUGUCUGCUUGCAGAUGGGCAGAGGAAGAGCGUACAGGUUGCGACCCGAAAGAUGGUGAACUAUGCCUGAGCAGGACGAAGCCAGAGGAAACUCUGGUGGAAGUCCGUAUCGGUUCUGACGUGCAAAUCGAUCGAUAGACUUGGGUAUAGGGGCGAAAGACUAAUCGAACCAUCU
rnacentral:rRNA from 1 species